rnacentral:rRNA from 1 species
AGCGAACGCUGGCGGCAGGCCUAACACAUGCAAGUCGAACGAAGUCUUCGGACUUAGUGGCGGACGGGUGAGUAACACGAGGGAACGUGCCUUUAGGUUCGGAAUAACUCAGGGACACUUGUGCUAAUACCGAAUGUGCCCUUCGGGGGAAGGAUUUAUCGCCUUUAGAGCGGCCCGCGUCUGAUUAGCUAGUUGGUGAGGUAAAGGCUCACCAAGGCUACGAUCAGUAGCUGGUCUGAGAGGAUGACCAGCCACAUUGGGACUGAGACACGGACCAGACUCCUACGGGAGUCAGCAGUUGGGAAUCUUGCGCAAUGGGCGAGAGCUUGAUGCAGCCAUGCCGCGUGGAUGAUGAAGGUCUUAGGAUUGUAAAAUCCUUUCACCGGUGAAGAUAAUGACUGUAGCCGGAGAAGAAGCCCCUGCUAACUUCGUGCCAGCCGCCGCAGUAAGAC